rnacentral:rRNA from 1 species
AGUGGCCUACCAAGGCAAUGAUGGGUAGCCGGGUUGAGAGACCGACCGGCCAGAUUGGGACUGACGACACGGCCCAGACUCCUACGGGAGGCAGCAGUGGGGAAUCUUGCACAAUGGGCGAAAGCCUGAUGCAGCGACGCCGCGUGCGGGAUGAAGGCCUUCGGGUUGUAAACCGCUUUCAGCAGGGACGAGGCCGCAAGGUGACGGUACCUGCAGAAGAAGCCCCGGGCUAACUACGUGCCAGCAGCCGCGGUAAAU